rnacentral:rRNA from 1 species
UGGGGAAUAUUGGACAAUGGGCGAAAGCCUGAUCCAGCCAUGCCGCAUGAGUGAAGAAGGCCUUUGGGUUGUAAAGCUCUUUUAGUGAGGAAGAUAAUGACGGUACUCACAGAAGAAGUCCUGGCUAACUCCGUGCCAGCAGCCGCGGUAAUACGGAGAGGGCUAGCGUUAUUCGGAAUUAUUGGGCGUAAAGGGCGCGUAGGCUGGUUAAUAAGUUAAAAGUGAAAUCCCGAGGCGUAACCUUGGAAUUGCUUUUAAAACUAUUAAUCUAGAGAUUGAAAGAGGAUAGAGGAAUUCCUGAUGUAGAGGUAAAAUUCGUAAAUAUUAGGAGGAACACCAGUGGCGAAGGCGUCUAUCUGGUUCAAAUCUGACGCUGAAGCGCGAAGGCGUGGGGAGCAAACA